rnacentral:rRNA from 1 species
GACGAACGCUGGCGGCGUGCUUAACACAUGCAAGUCGAACGGAAAGGCCCUGCUUUUGUGUGGUGCUCGAGUGGCGAACGGGUGAGUAACACGUGAGUAACCUGCCCUUGACUUUGGGAUAACUUCAGGAAACUGGGGCUAAUACCGGAUAGGAGCUCCGGCUGCAUGGUGGGGGUUGGCAAGGUUCGGCGGUUGGGGAUGGACUCGCGGCUUAUCAGCUUGUUGGUGGGGUAGUGGCUUACCAAGGCUUUGACGGGUAGCCGGCCUGAGAGGGUGACCGGCCACAUUGGGACUGAGAUACGGCCCAGACUCCUACGGGAGGCAGCAGUGGGGAAUAUUGCAAAAUGGGCGGAAGCCUGAUGCAGCAACGCCGCGUGCGGGAUGACGGCCUUCGGGUUGUAAACCGCUUUCGCCUGUGACGAAGCGUGAGUGACGGUAAUGGGUAAAGAAGCACCGGCUAACUACGUG